rnacentral:rRNA from 1 species
UGCCAGCAGCCGCGGUAAUACGGAGACUGCAAGCGUUGUUCGGAAUUAUUGGGCGUAAAGAGCAUGUAGGCGGACUGUUAAGUCUGAUGUGAAAGCCCGGGGCUCAACCCCGGAAGUGCAUUGGAAACUGGCGAACUUGAGUACGGGAGAGGAAAGUGGAAUUCCGAGUGUAGGGGUGAAAUCCGUAGAUAUUCGGAGGAACACCAGUGGCGAAGGCGGCUUUCUGGACCAAUACUGACGCUGAGAUGCGAAAGCGUGGGGAGCGAACAGGAUUAGAU